AUGGAGUCGAAUGAUGCGAGUUUCUUUGAAGAUAUCUUUCCCAUGAAGGAUAUGGCUACCUCAUCUAAUCAGGAGAUGCCUAGUUCAUCGAAUCAGGAACCAGUUACAAUUACCGAACCUGCCAUUUCGAUGGAACACUUUGAAAGUCCUGUGGAGAAAAACAAUGAAGUUCCUACUAGGAGCAAGAGACAGAGGACUGCAAACUCCUUUGGUGAUGAUUUUCUUGUGUAUCUCAUAGAUGACACUCCCAGUUCUAUUUCGGAGGCCUAUGCAUCGGAAGAUGCUGACUACUGGAAGGAAGCAGUUCGUAGCGAGAUGGAUUCCAUCUUGGCGAAUGAAACUUGGGAGAUAACUGAUCGUCCUUAUGGGUGCAAACCUAUAGGAUGCAAAUGGGUAUUCAAGAAGAAGCUUAGGCCUGAUGGUACUAUUGAAAAGUACAAGGCUCGGCUCGUGGAAAAGUGUUAUACCCAAAAGGAAGGUGAAGACUUCUUUGAUACUUACUCACCUAUGGCUCGACUGACCACUAUUCGAGUUCUACUUUCAGUAGCUGCCUCACAUGGUCUUCUCGUUCAUCAAAUGGAUGUUAAGUCUGCUUUCCUAAAUGGAGAGUUGGAUGAGGAAAUUUAUAUGGAACAACUAGAUGGGUUUGUAAUAGAUGGUCAAGAAGGGAAAGUGUGCAAGUUGCUGAAGUCUUUGUAUGGACUCAACCAAGCACCCAAACAGUGGCAUGAGAAGUUUGAAAGAACUUUAACAGCUGCAGGGUUUGUUGUGAACGAAGCUGACAAAUGUGUGUACUAUCGCCAUGGUGGGGGAGAGGGAGUUAUGCUUUGCUUGUAUGUUGAUGACAUAAUGAUUUUCGGAACAAAUUUGAAUGUUAUUAAGGAGGUCAAGGAUUUCCUAUCUCGCAGUUUUGAGAUGAAGGAUUUAGGAGUGGCUGAUGUCAUUCUUAACAUCAAGUUGUUGAGAGAUGAUGAUGGUGGUAUUACAUUGCUUCAAUCUCACUAUGUGGAAAAGAUCUUGAGUCGCUUUGGCUACAGUGACUGCAAGCCCUCUCCAACACCAUAUGAUGCUAGCAUGCUGCUUCGAAAGAAUCGAAGAAUUGCUAGAGAUCAAUUGAAGUAUUCUCAGAUUAUUGGCUCGCUUAUGUACUUAGCCAGUGCUACAAGACCUGACAUCUCUUUUGCUGUUAGCAAAUUGAGUCAGUUUGUUUCAAAACCAGGAGAUGUGCAUUGGAAAGCUCUAGAGAGAGUUUUGCGUUAUUUGAAAGGCACUGCAAAUUAUGGAAUUCACUACACUGGGCAUCCAAAGGUGCUUGAAGGGUAUAGUGACUCAAACUGGAUCUCAGAUGCUGAUGAGAUAAAGGCCACGAGCGGUUAUGUAUUCACUCAUGGAGGUGGCGUUGUUUCUUGGAAGUCUUACAAGCAGAUCAUCUUAACGAGGUCAACAAUGGAAGCAGAACUAACAACACUAGAUACAGCUACGGUCGAAGCAGAUUGGCUUCGUCGGCUCUUGAAUGACUUGCCGGUAGUUGAGAAACCUGUACCGGGUAUCCUUAUGAACUGUGACAAUCAAAUUGUGAUCACUAAAGUGAGCAGCUCAAAGGAUAACAUGAAGUCAUCAAGACACGUUCAGAGAAGGUUAAAGUCUGUCAUAAAAAUGAAAAACUCCGGAGUUAUUGCAUUGGAUUAUAUCCAAACGUCUAAAAAUCUGGCAGAUCCUUUUACCAAGGGUCUAUCACGUAAUGUAAUAGAUAAUGCAUCAAGGGAGAUGGGUAUGAGACCCACAAUAUGA
rnacentral:rRNA from 1 species